UCCUCGAUAGCCCAACGGUGGAGCGUCCGCCUGUUGACCGGAGGGUUGCAGGUUCGAAUCCUGCUCGCGGAGCCG
rnacentral:tRNA from 1 species